AGCUGGCACGUUCACAGUAGGUACUCACACUUAUGCAAUUUCACUAUACAGUAUGUUAAUUUAUUUAUUUG